rnacentral:rRNA from 1 species
UACGUAGGGUGCGAGCGUUGUCCGGAAUUAUUGGGCGUAAAGGGCUCGUAGGCGGUCUGUUGCGUCGGGAGUGAAAACUCAGGGCUUAACCCUGAGCCUGCUUCCGAUGCGGGCAGACUAGAGGUAUGCAGGGGAGAACGGAAUUCCUGGUGUAGCGGUGAAAUGCGCAGAUAUCAGGAGGAACACCGGUGGCGAAGGCGGUUCUCUGGGCAUUACCUGACGCUGAGGAGCGAAAGUGUGGGGAGCGAACAGG